UAAAUGUUUAUUUUUGAUUAUCUCAAAAUAUACCUUUCAGUUUUAUGUAAAUCGUUCGAAGUGUAGGAUAUAGUUCAAUUUUGAUUAUAUUUUGUGCAAAAAAGAAAAUUUUAUAACAAUCAAAAUGGUUUAUGAAUUCGAAUUUCACCGUCCAUCGUAUUACAAUUCACGGAUAUUUUCGUCGUAUUAUCCGCCUACCAAGUCCAACCGAUCAUCAGACGAAAGACCCUACAGUGCUGGAAGAUACUAUGCAAGUGUUGACAAAUUAGUUCGAGUGUGAAGUGUGAAUUUCCUUAAUGAAAUAAUAAUUUUUAAAUUAGAAGCCGUACUGGUCGUACAAUCCAUACAUCCCCCUUCCUUCUAGUUACAGUCCAUACACAUCCAGCUCUUUAUAUAAUCUGCCAGUCUACUCAUACAGAUAUAUAAAUCCCAAGCUACCGACUCUAACGGAGAUUUUGGCAAGGAAAGAAGUUAAUCGAUUCAGGAAUUGUGCCCGUUCAAAGUGUGUUGCAUUGGAGGUGGACAACUUUGACUUCAGCUCCUAUAAUGCAUCAAGGGAAAGAGUUCGGAAUGCGACUCGUGCUAGCAGUGUUCCACGUUUCGUUCGUGAGUCAAGCUUGCCACCGAGCUUCGACAGAUUUUUACGCAGCUCUUUAGAACGCGACUUGUUUUAAGAGAAGAGAAAAAUGUGCUGCUAAUAAAACGCUUCGCUUUUUACCCGAGCUGCUGCUGACGCAAUUCUAUGGUUGGCAUACCUUCUCUCUUCUCACCUUUCUGAAGCAGCACUUCUCACGACUUUUCAUCUAUGUAGAGCUAACAGCGAACAAAAUACCUUAGAACUGUUCCCAUUUAAACUUUUUGACAGAAAUACAAUGCAACUGUUUCCGUAACUU